rnacentral:rRNA from 1 species
UGGAGUUUGAUCAUGGCUCAGGAUAAACGCUGGCGGCGUGCCUAAUGCAUGCAAGUCGAACGGAUGCUUUUCGCAAGAGAAGCAUUAGUGGCAAACGGGUGAGUAACACGUGGGGAUCUGCCCAGUAGUGGGGAACAACUCCUCGAAAGAGGAGCUAAUACCGCUCGAAAGAGUAAAGCCUUCGCAAGGGGGCGCUAUUGGAGGAACCUGCGGCUGAUUAGCUAGUUGGUGGGGUAAAGGCCUACCAAGGCUUUGACGGGUAGCCGGCCUGAGAGGGCGACCGGCCACACUGGGACUGAGACACGGCCCAAACUCCUACGGGAGGCAGCAGUGGGGAAUAUUGGACAAUGGGCGCAAGCCUGAUCCAGCCAUGCCGCGUGAGUGAUGAAGGCCUUAGGGUUGUAAAGCUCUUUCGUUGGGGAAGAUAAUGACGGUACCCGAAGAAGAAGCCCCGGCUAACUUCGUGCCAGCAGCCGCGGUAAU